rnacentral:lncRNA from 1 species
GUGCUCCUUGCCGGGGUGGGGGUCGUUACCGAGUGGGAACUUCUGCAAAUCCUGACUUUUGUCACUUCGCGCCCCGCACAAGAUGUCCUGCCGGCGGUGCGAUUGGUCCCGUUGCUUCGAGGGGAAACUGAGGCCACUUAGUCCGGGCACUUACCCGCAGCUAGUUAAGGACUAGGCUCUGAUGGAGACGCUUGUUACGACCUCAAUGGCCUGUAGAAUCUGGGAGGCCGCCUCCGACCUAAGCCCAAAAAGCACAUGAUCGGGCUCACAGGGGGCGGCCAGAGGUGAAAACAGCCAACGCUUUACAACGACGCUGUGCGGGGCACUUCGUGUGUGUCAUCCCGUCUCAUCCUCGGGUGAUAGGAACUGUUCAUUCGGGAAAAUUGCAAACAACUAAAUACCCCUCACCAGGAGCUGGCCCAUUAUAGCAACUCUGAGACCUCUCUACCGCAGGCUCUUAAAAUGGGUUUUCAUCCCAACAGAAUUUUUCUGAGGAACUUGAUAUACAAAUUCUAUAAUUUAUAUUGGAAGAAUGAAGAUACAAGAAUAGUUUUUCUUUCUGCACAAAAAGGAUAAAGAAGGAGCACUCACCAGAUACCAAGGCGUGCUACAAAGCCAUGUGAUUCUGUCCAAGCUUAACAGUGGAUGUAACUGCUUCUUUGCUGUGGCAGAUUGUAUUUUCUGAAGGCCCCAACAGUCUCUCCUGUCCCUCCUCCUCUUCUGAAACCUUGAUACUUCCCUAUGAAGAGGUAGGGUCUAAUACUUCCCUCCUUCAACCUGAAGCCCCGCCUUGGGCUUGUGACUUGCUUGUAACCAGUCAAAUACAGUGGAAGAGUUACUACGUGACUUCCAGGGCUAGGUCAGAAAAGGAUGCAGCCUCAGGGUUCAACACACACUUGGGCCUGGAGCCACCAUGCAAGAAGGCUGCCAUGCUGCGAGGGAGCAAAGGCACGUGGAGGGACAUACACAGGGGCUGUGGCUGGCAGUCCUGGCCUUUGAGUCAUCCUUGUUUAAGUGCCAGGCACACACGUUAACUACCUUUAGGUAAUUCCAUACCUCAGGUGUCAUGUCACCCCAAGCCCUUGAGCCUUCCCAUCUGAAGCCCCAGGCUGUAUGGAGAAGAAACAAGAUGUUCCUGCCACGCUCUUUCUGAACUGCUGACAUACAGAAUCUGUGACCAUAAUAAAAUGGUUGUUUUGUGCCAUUAAAAAAAAAAAAAAAAAAAAAAAAAAAAAAAAAAA